UACGGGGGGGGCAAGCGUUGUUCGGAAUUACUGGGCGUAAAGGGCGCGUAGGCGGCCUGCUAAGUCGGAUGUGAAAUCUCUCGGCUCAACCGAGGAACUGCAUCCGAUACUGGCGGGCUUGAAUCCGGGAGAGGGAUGUGGAAUUCCAGGUGUAGCGGUGAAAUGCGUAGAUAUCUGGAGGAACACCGGUGGCGAAGGCGGCGACCUGGACAGGUACUGACACUCAACUACGAAAGCGUGGGGAGCAAACAGG
rnacentral:rRNA from 1 species